AUUGAACGCUGGCGGCAUGCUUUACACAUGCGAGUCGAACGGCAGCGCGGGCUUCGGCCUUGCGGCGAGUGGCGAACGGGUGAGUAAUGCAUCGGAACGUGCCCAGUAGUGGGGGAUAGCCCGGCGAAAGCCGGAUUAAUACCGCAUACGACCUGAGGGUGAAAGCGGGGGACCGAAAGGCCUCGCGCUAUUGGAGCGGCCGAUGUCGGAUUAGCUAGUUGGUGGGGUAAAGGCUUACCAAGGCGACGAUCCGUAGCUGGUCUGAGAGGACGACCAGCCACACUGGGACUGAGACACGGCCCAGACUCCUACGGGAGGCAGCAGUGGGGAAUUUUGGACAAUGGGGGCAAGCCUGAUCCAGCCAUGCCGCGUGCGGGAAGAAGGCCUUCGGGUUGUAAAGCGCUUUUGUUCGGGAAGAAGUCCUCUGGGCUAAUACCCCGGGGGGAUGACGUUACCGGAAGAAUAAGCACCGGCUAACUACGUG
rnacentral:rRNA from 1 species